rnacentral:rRNA from 1 species
UCCCCCAGUAGCGGCGAGCGAACGGGGAGGAGCCCAGAGUCUGAAUCAGUUUGUGUGUUAGUGGAAGCGUCUGGAAAGUCGCACGGUACAGGGUGAUAGUCCCGUACACCAAAAUGCACAGGCUGUGAACUCGAUGAGUAGGGCGGGACACGUGACAUCCUGUCUGAAUAUGGGGGGACCAUCCUCCAAGGCUAAAUACUCCUGACUGACCGAUAGUGAACCAGUACCGUGAGGGAAAGGCGAAAAGAACCCCGGCGAGGGGAGUGAAAUAGAACCUGAAACCGUGUACGUACAAGCAGUGGGAGCACCUUCGUGGUGUGACUGCGUACCUUUUGUAUAAUGGGUCAGCGACUUAUAUUUUGUAGCAAGGUUAACCGAAUAGGGGAGCCGUAGGGAAACCGAGUCUUAACUGGGCGUCUAGUUGCAAGGUAUAGACCCGAAACCCGGUGAUCUAGCCAUGGGCAGGUUGAAGGUUGGGUAACACUAACUGGAGGACCGAACCGACUAAUGUUGAAAAAUUAGCGGAUGACUUGUGGCUGGGGGUGAAAGGCCAAUCAAACCGGGAGAUAGCUGGUUCUCCCCGAAAGCUAUUUAGGUAGCGCCUCGUGAACUCAUCUUCGGGGGUAGAGCACUGUUUCGGCUAGGGGGCCAUCCCGGCUUACCAAACCGAUGCAAACUCCGAAUACCGAAGAAUGUUAUCACGGGAGACACACGGCGGGUGCUAACGUCCGUCGUGAAGAGGGAAACAACCCAGACCGCCAGCUAAGGUCCCAAAGUCAUGGUUAAGUGGGAAACGAUGUGGGAAGGCACAGACAGCCAGGAUGUUGGCUUAGAAGCAGCCAUCAUUUAAAGAAAGCGUAAUAGCUCACUGGUCGAGUCGGCCUGCGCGGAAGAUGUAACGGGGCUAAACCAUGCACCGAAGCUGCGGCAGCGACGUUUAGGCGUUGUUGGGUAGGGGAGCGUUCUGUAAGCCGUUGAAGGUGACCUGUGAGGGUUGCUGGAGGUAUCAGAAGUGCGAAUGCUGACAUAAGUAACGAUAAUGCGGGUGAAAAACCCGCACGCCGGAAGACCAAGGGUUCCUGUCCAACGUUAAUCGGGGCAGGGUGAGUCGACCCCUAAGGCGAGGCUGAAAAGCGUAGUCGAUGGGAAACAGGUUAAUAUUCCUGUACUUGGUGUUACUGCGAAGGGGGGACGGAGAAGGCUAGGCUGGCCGGGCGACGGUUGUCCCGGUUUAAGCGUGUAGGGGGAGUGACCAGGUAAAUCCGGUUGCUUAUCAACCCUGAGGCGUGAUGACGAUGCACCACGGUGCAGAAGCAGUUGAUGCCAUGCUUCCAGGAAAAGCCUCUAAGCAUCAGGUAACAUUAAAUCGUACCCCAAACCGACACAGGUGGUCAGGUAGAGAAUACUCAGGCGCUUGAGAGAACUCGGGUGAAGGAACUAGGCAAAAUGGUGCCGUAACUUCGGGAGAAGGCACGCUGGCGUUAGGUGAAAGGACUAGCUCCUGGAGCUGAAGCCAGUCGCAGAUACCAGCUGGCUGCAACUGUUUAAUAAAAACACAGCACUGUGCAAACACGAAAGUGGACGUAUACAGUGUGACGCCUGCCCGGUGCUGGAAGGUUAAUUGAUGGGGUCAGCCGCAAGGGGAAGCUCUUGAUCGAAGCCCCAGUAAACGGCGGCCGUAACUAUAACGGUCCUAAGGUAGCGAAAUUCCUUGUCGGGUAAGUUCCGACCUGCACGAAUGGCGUAAUGAUGGCCAGGCUGUCUCCACCCGAGACUCAGUGAAAUUGAACUCGCUGUGAAGAUGCAGUGUACCCGCGGCAAGACGGAAAGACCCCGUGAACCUUUACUAUAGCUUGACACUGAACAUUGAGCCUUGAUGUGUAGGAUAGGUGGGAGGCCUUGAAGUGUGGACGCCAGUCUGCAUGGAGCCAACCUUGAAAUACCACCCUUUAAUGUUUGAUGUUCUAACUCGGCCCCAUGAUCUGGGGUGAGGACAGUGUCUGGUGGGUAGUUUGACUGGGGCGGUCUCCUCCCAAAGAGUAACGGAGGAGCACGAAGGUUAGCUAAUCACGGUCGGACAUCGUGAGGUUAGUGCAAAGGCAUAAGCUAGCUUGACUGCGAGAGUGACGGCUCGAGCAGGUACGAAAGUAGGUCUUAGUGAUCCGGUGGUUCUGAAUGGAAGGGCCAUCGCUCAACGGAUAAAAGGUACUCCGGGGAUAACAGGCUGAUACCGCCCAAGAGUUCAUAUCGACGGCGGUGUUUGGCACCUCGAUGUCGGCUCAUCACAUCCUGGGGCUGAAGUAGGUCCCAAGGGUAUGGCUGUUCGCCAUUUAAAGUGGUACGCGAGCUGGGUUUAGAACGUCGUGAGACAGUUCGGUCCCUAUCUGCCGUGGGCGUUGGAAGAUUGAGAGGGGCUGCUCCUAGUACGAGAGGACCGGAGUGGACGAAUCACUGGUGUUCGGGUUGUCAUGCCAAUGGCAUUGCCCGGUAGCUAAAUUCGGAAGAGAUAACCGCUGAAAGCAUCUAAGCGGGAAACUUGCCUCGAGAUGAGUCUUCCCUGGG